rnacentral:rRNA from 1 species
ACUCCUACGGGAGGCAGCAGUGGGGAAUAUUGCACAAUGGGCGCAAGCCUGAUGCAGCCAUGCCGCGUGUAUGAAGAAGGCCUUCGGGUUGUAAAGUACUUUCAGCAGUGAGGAAAGGCGGGGUACGUUAAUAGCGUGCUCGUUUGACGUUAGCUGCAGAAAGAAGCACCGGCUAAACUCCGUGCCAGCAGCCGCGGGUAAUACGGAGGGUGCGAGCGUUAAUCGGAAUUACUGGGCGUAAAGCGCAUGCAGGUGGUUUGUUAAGUCAGAUGUGAAAGCCCGGGGCUCAACCUCGGAAUAGCAUUUGAAACUGGCAGACUAGAGUACUUAGAGGGGGGUA